GACAUGCCUCUCCCCAGGCAUAUUAAUCGAUCUUGGAUGGAAGUUUCCCACCCAGGGCUCCUGGUCUCACUCUCACUGCUGGAAUGAGUCCCUUUUGCUUUCUGCUGGCAGCUGUUGUGUUCCUGCUGCUAUUACACAGUAAAGUCCGGCAUGCAGUAGGUAAGAUAGUGGCAUUUUUUCGCGUCACCUAAGCUACUGUCAUUGUUAAAUGCGUUCAAAGUGAUUUAGCAAUGAUACUGCAGGAGUUCAGGUACCACGGCAAAUUGUCUAGCAUCCGCAUCCACUUGAGAAGUCUGCUUGUUCUUGUUCUUAGGGAAAACAAGUCAACUCAACACAAGUUAAUUUUGAUCUUGAUGCCUCCAAUAUCCACUUCAUGCGGCCUUGAAUGAGUGCUUAUGGUCAUGUGUUUUUCUAAUCCCCCAGGGAAAAUGCAUUUUGAAUGCGUGGACUGGUCCUGACGGUUGAUGGUUAUGUGAAGUUUUGCAUUUGGAGGGUGCUGGGAGGCUGCUUGAUGAAAUGCGUGAGAGAAGAGAACUUGCUAUGUCGG
rnacentral:lncRNA from 1 species